AGGCAGUGAGGUGGGCAAAACUGGUCAUACCUUUAGUGGUUCAUUCAGCACAAAAGGUACAUUUGCGGGGAGCAACUGCCCUGGAGAUGGGAAUGCCAUUAUUGCUUCAGAAACAGCAAGAAAUAGCAUCUAUUACGGAGCAGCUUAUGACUACUAAAUUAAUCUCAGAACUUCAGAAGCUAUUUAUGAGUAAAAAUGAGACUUACGUGUUAAAAUUAUGGCCUUUGUUUGUCAAACUACUUGGAAGGACACCCAGAGUGGCAAAGAAUUGGAGUCACACAACGUGCAUGUUUCCAGCUGAGGUCAAGCAAGGUUACACUCUGCCUUUUUUAGUUCUUAUACCUUAAACAGGUGUCCUUUUUAUAAUCCCUGUAAUGCCACAUUUUUCACUUUUCUGUGCUUUCCUGGUGGUUUCACUGUUUAAAUUUGGAACCCAAAGCUUGGGUCCAGGUGCUGUCUAGUUUGUGUUCCUAAGCAAAGGAAGGCUGUGAUAUACCCAGUGGUGAAAAUAAACUUUGUUCAGGCACGAUUUAUAGAGCUACUGGCUGUGAGUUUGAUGUUAGUGAUUCAGUAGUGUGAAAUAUCUUCUAAUAGAUAGACGUUAAGCAGGUUAUGUAUUGAACAGCUGACAAAAGUGUUGUGUCCAAAGAACCUAACCCUGUAUUUCCCAUGGGAUUGAUCACUCAGUAUUUGCCAAUUUAGUGUUCAAGGCUACUUUAUAUAAUAGAAAACCAUAACUACUAUGAAUAAUGAGAGAGAAUCAAUUGUAUGUUCA
rnacentral:sRNA from 1 species